GACGAACCGUCCUAACGUUGUUCGGAAUCACUGGGCUUAAAGGGCGCGUAGGCGGGUUCCCAAGUCGGUGGUGAAAUCUUUCGGCCCAACCGGAAAACAGCCGCCGAUACUGGGAGUCUUGAGGGAGGUAGGGGUCGAUGGAACUUCCGGUGGAGCGGUGAAAUGCGUAGAUAUCGGAAGGAACACCGGUGGCGAAGGCGGCACGCUGGGCCCGCCCUGACGCUGAGGCGCGAAAGCCAGGGGAGCGAACGGG
rnacentral:rRNA from 1 species